UGUGAGAGCUGUCUCUCCCUGCAGCCGCCCGGCCGGGCUGUGCCGAGGAGCUGAGGCCGCCCCGGGCCCGAGGGCCCUUCCCGCGCAGGGAGCACAGAGCAGCCAAUGGGAGCGGGGCUGAGCAGGGGCUGGGAAACCCCGUGCCGCCCUCAGCGCCCCUCGCCCGGGGCUGCGGCAUGGCGGGGGAAAGGGGCCCCGACACUGCUGCAUUCAUCACCUUCAGCUUCAGGGCAGGGAGUGCUCAGGCUUGUGGAAAGAGGAACUGUCCUCACGCUGUGUCCUUUGCUGCCCCUCCGGAGCAGGAGCUGGAGAGGGAGCAGCAUUCCCGGGGCAGCUGCUCAGGGGCCUGUGCUGCUGCACUUCCGAGCUGGUAAUUAGUGAAACACUCUGGGAGCGGUCUGCAAGAAUGAGCUGCUCUUAAUUAGCAGUGCGUUCGUCACGUGAUGUGCAGAGAUCGUGGAGAGGCUUCAGAAAGUCUGAGACUUAGUCCAGAAAUGGUUCAGGGCUGUACUGGCAGCCACGUUAUUAGGCAGGUUUUUAUUAUGUAUCUUUAAACUCAUCGCAACGUCUUUCAAAAUGUUCUGGAAAAGACAUAAUCCCAUCUGUUGGAUCACCCAGAGCAGGUGAAUAAAGGAAUGAUGAGCCUUCACAGCCUUCUUUGCACCGUUUCUAAGUGUGGGAGCACUGACUACAAAGUUCUCCAUUGCUGGUUUUGACUGGCUGAGGUAACCAACAAAUCCCGAGGAGCUGCUUUCCAUGGAAUCACAUGCCUUGGAGCAGACAGCCAUUUAUAGAGCUCCAGAAAAGACCGAAACUGCUGUGGGUUAUUGCUGUCCCCAAAUACCCUUCGUACACAGGACAUUGGAGUCAUCUUUGCAGCAGCGGCAGAGCAGUGAAAUUGCACUUACCCCUGAGCCUCGUGGGUUGCUGAUUCAGAGAAGAAGCAGGUUCUGGUUCAACACAAACAUCUCCCUCAUUUUCUAAAAUCCGUGGGCUGAUUUGUUCCACCUGCCAGGUGCAAUGUGCUUGAUCAGAAAAAAUCAAAGCAAGUUCCUAGAAAGAAGGAACAGACCAGGAGCAGGCCCAAGAGGAGGUGUCACACCUGCCAAGUCACCUAGCCAGGAGGAAACUUGGCUUUGGACUCUCAGAAAGACAAGCUGGACAGGAUGUAGCCCUUGCUACUGUUAUUUACAGCAAGUCCUUUACUCUGCAAGCAAAGUGGUGCUGAAUCCAAAUGAGGAUAUCAAAUGUGGAUCCUAAGGAAACCUAUACCUUUAGAAUAUGAACAAUGCUGCAAGAGCAUUAAAUCUGAAUUCUCCUGACUUCUGUGUAUAGGAUCUGUCUUUGGUAUAGCAUCACAUUCAUUUUUACCCUGUCAUUCAGAUGCACAAACCAAACAUGCCAGCAUGCACAUACAAAUGUUAAGAGUAUUGUAACUUCCUCUAAGGUUUUGUAAGCAUGGGGAAUAAAGCUAAAUGGAACAAUUAUUCCAGCAUAGCAUUACACACAGCAGCCUCCUGAAUAAUUCCAUAUGUGUGGUGUCUCAAAGCAGUGAAAUCAAUCAGUCAAAAGCAACCGGUCCAGUGCAGAUUGCAGAUGUGUGUGUGUGUAAAUAAAAAGACAUGAGGGGCUUUGACCACUUCUGUGAUUUUUUUUAACAGCUGCUAGACGUCCUUUGUUUGGGGUGGGCUGCUCAGUUACCGCCCUGGCUCUGCUUGAACAGCCAGGAGACUUUCACGUGUGAAUUAACACGUGUUUGUGCGAGAAGCUGACAUGGCGUAUUUUCAUUUCCCCUUAAUAAGCCUGUGUAUACAUAGACAUACAUGCAUGUGUGUAUAUAUCUGUACCAAAUAAAUAUAUGCAUGUCAAAGUGAAUUGCACUGUGAAAUGCCUGCUUGCACGGAGCCGUGACGAGGUUUCAGAGCCUGGCAGGAUGUUGAUGUGAUCUCCAGCUCAGCACUGGAAGGACAUGCCCUGAGCUCUGCUCUUUCCCCUCGUACAGAGGGACAAAAUGAACGAUCUGCAUUUCCUAAUGGGAUCAGUUUGAAGAGAGCUCUGUCCAGCUGAGGGCCUCACCUCACCUGAGCUCCCUGACGGAUGGAAAAGCUCAGACAUGGUUUUUAUGUAGCUGCUGCUUUGCUGUUCUGUUUUCUCUCUGUGAGGCAAAGCAGGGUGCAGGUCUGCCCUGGCACACCCAGCUGUGGGUCAUCUCUGAUCCUCAGGGCACAAGAGUGCUUCUUUCCCUCCUCUACCCUCACAUCCCUCUGCAUGGAUGGGGCGUUUAUCCCUCUCCUUGAUCUCUGCAAGGGACACCAGCCCACCAGGGGAUGCAGCCAAACGCCGGUGACCACUCAGCAGUGCAUCAUCCCUCGCACCUUGGCCUCGGUACUUCAUCCAGCGCCUCCCCAAAAAACAGCUUGCAGCCCCCUGACAUUUGCUUUUGGCAGUUUGAGGUUUCUUUUUUGUGGGGCUGGACUCACACCCUCAGCCUGAGCAGGAGUGUCUGAGGAGAGCUCGAAUCCACAUCCAAGAGGUGUCAGGCUCUUGUUUACGUGCAGGUGGGAGCACAGUUGCAUCUGUGGACACAAAAGCAUUCAGCCUCCAGGGAAAAGCAGCAUUCAGACUUGCUGCUGGCCCCUCUUUCCUACUCUGAGCUCAAGGGAAUCCACACAGCCCACAGAGCAGGUCUGGGUCUGGAUCUUGCAGCUGACUGUAUUUAUAACACACUUAGGAGUAACCAAACCCCAUUCUGUGCCUGUGACUGUGAGCAUAACAGGAACACGUUCCACUUUUCCUGAGUUAUCAUGGCUCUGUGUGCUGUGAAGCAGUUCUGUGACAGGAAAUACAAUUUAUGGGCUGUACAUUCAUUGUCUGUGAGAGUAAGACUUUAUAAAUAAAUAUAUGAAGUCCAAAGGCAGAAUCUGUCCUGUGUGUAGUCU